GUGGUCGUUAGGGAUAGGCUUUAUCGGGUGGGUCGUGACACCGAGAGUGAGGAGAUUUUUACCCAGUUGCUGGUACCCAGGAGCCGCCGGGAAAUGAUUUUCCAGGCGGCGCAUUACAACCCAAUGGCGGGCCAUUUGGGGCAGACGCGUCGGAUAGGGGGUUGGGCGCGGUCCUGACCCAGCAGGUGGAGGGGACCGUCCGUCCGGUGCUGUACCUGAGCCGCAAGCUGUCGGACCGCUAGGGUCGCUACAUCACGGUAGAGAAGUGUCUCGCCAUCCGGUGGGCGGUCGGUGCCCUUCGCUACUACCUGCUGGGUCGCCAGUUCACCCUCUACUCCGACCACGCCCCCCUCCAGUGGCUCCACCGGAUGAAGGAUGCCAACGCGAGGAUCACCCGGU
ensembl:lncRNA